rnacentral:rRNA from 1 species
UACGUAGGGGGCAAGCGUUGCCCGGAUUUAUCGGGCGUAAAGAGCGUGUAGGCGGCUUUGCAAGUCCGUUGUGAAAACUCGAGGCUCAACCUCGAGACGCCGGUGGAAACUGCAAAGCUAGAGUCCGGAAGAGGAGAGUGGAAUUCCUGGUGUAGCGGUGAAAUGCGCAGAUAUCAGGAAGAACACCCGUGGCGAAGGCGGCUCUCUGGGACGGUACUGACGCUGAGACGCGAAAGCGUGGGGAGCGAACAGG